ACCUGACGCUCUGCUUUCCCCUGACCUCCACUGACAUCUACGACCCGCCCUGGAGGCACGGAAGGCUGUGGGGUUCCAGCCCCCCAAACUGUGCAGCUGAGGAAAAUGAGCCGUGAAUGGGGGCAGAGCCAGAUCCUGGGCGGGACCCUGCGCAGGAUGAACUCAGGCAGCCAGAGGGACCCCGGGAAGAUGGGAGUGAGAGCUGCCUUCGUCUGCAAAAGUCUCCAGACACCACCUCACUGGUGAAGGCCAGAGACCCUAAACUGUCCCAAGACCACCUGACUGGGCUGCCUCCCUGCCACCUGGCUGCCAGCCUCUCUCAGAGCGCCUGCAAGCUAUUCCUCCAACCCAGAGUUUCCUUCCCAGCUAAAGGCCUUUGCACCUGCUGUUCCUUCUGCCUGGAAGUUCACCGCAGACUAUCCCAGGGCCUCCAUCCUUCCCAUUGCAUGGUCCCCAUCAGCUGCCGCCGCCUCUGAGAGCUCAGUCUCCACUGGCCAUCCUGUCUCUCAGCCCACUGCACUCUCCACUCUGCCAGAAAGUCCCCCAAUCAGUGACAACACAGGUCACGGUCCACACCUCACCUGGUUUGUCCCCAGUGCCCAGCAUCUGGCACCGAGCAGGUGCGUGCAAAUCCUGGACAGGUGGGCAAGCUGAUGGUGUCCAGAGGCCCCUGGUCCUUAAGGGCAGGGGUGGGGAUGGCUCAGAGGACAUAACCUUGCAGACCCGGGUUCAAAUCUGGGCUCCUCAGCUCAUUUGGUCCUCACACAGCCCAUGUUGGGAGAGCUAGUGUUCUCCCUGUUUUGCUGAUGAGACACAGAGAAGGUCAGCAACUCCCGAAGAUUGCCCAGCAAGUUGGGAGUAAAGCUGGUGCAAUUCCCACGUUUAGCUGCUAAACAGGGUGUCCUGUACUUGGUGUGUUCAAGCAGAAAUCCACACAUGGGAAGGUCAAGGCAACAUCCCUGGUACUCCAGCUUUGAGGUCCUAGGAAAAAGGGAACCUCCCAUUAAAUGCUUCUAUUGCCGGGAAGUUCAGCACCUGUAAAAGCAGCCCCUUCCCGUUUCACUGUGGCUGCAUUUUAAUUCUUAUUUUUUAAAUGUUUAGCUUAAGGCCGGGCACAGUGACUCACACUAUAAUCCCAGCAAUUUGGGAGGCUGAGGCGGGAGGAUCACUUGAGCCUAGGAAUUCAAGACCAGCCUAGGUAACAUAGUGGGACCCUAUCUCUACAAAAAAUAAAAAAUUAGCCAGUCAUGGUGGCAUGCUCCUAUAGUCCCAGCUUGGAGAUUGAGGUGGGAGGAUCACCUGAGCCUAAGAGGACAAGGCUAGAGUAAGCCCUGAUCCCGCCAGCACCCCAGCCUAAGUGAAAGAGCGAGAGCCUGUCUC
ensembl:lncRNA ASTILCS antisense transcript of PTP4A3, liver carcinoma survival associated